UGCCGGAAGUGGCGAGUUAAAGGCGCUCUGUAGUGGUCACCAUUUUUCUCCCCUCAGGACGCUGCGUCCACUGAGAGGCAACACGUUUUAGAUGGCGGCUGGCAGCAGCUUCGCCUAGGCUGGCAGGUUUGGGCCAGGAGACCCUGAGGCCUGAGAAGUCCGGGCACCUUAAGGCCGCUGCUGCUUUAAGACCAUAGAGGUGAGGGCGGGGAGCCAUUUGCCUGUGCUUCAAAGCCUGCGCCCAGCAGGCUGGCGGCAGGAGAGAGGGAUCUGGGACCUGCUCCUUGAGGCCCCUGCCAUCCCCUGGCCCUGGGUCACCAUCCAGCGGCAUCACUGAGGGCCGGGAGGGCCCUGGAGAAGCAGGCCGCGCACCGUUUUUUCACAGACGAUGUUUUCAGAGACUCUGGUUGGUUUUGCCAUAUACUUCCAGCAAAGAACAUUCUUGUCAAGAGAAGACCACAGCUCUUGAGUUGGCUUCUAGAAUGUAACAAGCUCUGCCUGGCAUGCAGUAUAACUAUGGACUCAACUCACCAAGAAAGUAAGAAUUUGACAUUUAAAAUGACUGUUUAGAAUUUCCACUUACCACAUUUAUUUUUAA
rnacentral:lncRNA from 1 species